UCCAAUGUGGUGUAGUGGCUAACAUUGCUGUCUUUCAUUUAGCUGAACCUGAAUGAGCACAGCAGCCCGGGGUUCGAUUCCCCGCAUUGGAA